rnacentral:misc_RNA from 1 species
AACGCAUAUUGCGCUCUCUGGUAUUCCGGAGAGCAUGCUUGUUUGAGUAUCAGUAAACACCCCUCAGAACUUCUUGAUUUUCGAAUCUUGGAGCUCUGGAUUUGAGUGAUCCCAACGCGUUCUUUCGCAGAACAUGGCGGGCCACUUGAAAUGCAGGUGCAGCUGGACUUUCUUCUGAGCUAAAAGCAUAUUUAUUUAGUCCUGUCAACACUUGUGUUGCGGAUUAUUACUUCUGCUGCAGCUAACAUAAAGGUUGAUUGUUCAAAUGCUGACUGAUGCAGGAUUUAUCAGUAGCGUAAGCUAUCUGUUAAACUCGAUCUCAAAUCAAGUAAGACUACCCGCUGAACUUAA